rnacentral:rRNA from 1 species
AUUGAACGCUGGCGGCAGGCCUAACACAUGCAAGUCGAGCGGAGCGGCGGACGGGUGAGUAAUGCCUAGGAAUCUGCCUGGUAGUGGGGGAUAACGUCCGGAAACGGGCGCUAAUACCGCAUACUAUCAGAUGAGCCUAGGUCGGAUUAGCUAGGUGGGGGGGUAAAGGCCUACCAAGGCGACGAUCCGUAACUGGUCUGAGAGGAUGAUCAGUCACCGUGGAACUGAGACACGGUCCAGACUCCGACGGGAGACAGCAGUUGGGAAGAUUGGACAAUGUGCGAAAGCCUGCUCCAGCCAUGCCGCGUGUGUGAAGAAGGUCGUCGGAUUGUAAAGCACUUUAAGUUGGCAGGCGUUACCAACAGAAUAAGGACCGGCUACCUUCGUUCCAGCAGCCGCGGUAAUUC